rnacentral:rRNA from 1 species
AUGUCAGAAAUCGUCAACAACCUCCUCGGCAAACUCGCCGACCUGCUGAGCGACGAGUGUCAGAAGCUCAAAGGGGUGGAGCGUCAUGUGCAGCACCUCGGGGAUGAGCUCAGCUCCAUGAAAGCUCUCCUGGAGGCGCUGGAUCUCAGGGAUAAACUCGACCCCUUGACCAAGGACUGGCGGGACCAUGUCAGGGACAUGGCCUACGACAUGGAAGAUUGCAUCGGCGACUUCCUGCUCAAUGUUGGAAGUGCCAAUGCCAAUGCAGGUUUUAUUGAGAAGACCACUCAACUUGUCAAGGACCUGUGGGCGCGUCAUCAGUUUACAAUCCAGAUCCAGGAGCUCAAGGAUCGUGCUAUAGAGGCGAAUCAUCGACGCAAAAGGUACAAGCUUGAUGAUAGCAGUAGCUCUAGCUCUGCCCUUGUGCCCGUCGAUCCUCGGGUGUCGGCACUCUACACAGAGGCGGCCUGCGUUGUGGGUAUUGAUGGCCCAAGGGAAGAGCUUGUCAAUUGGCUGGCGGGUAGUGAGCAAGAACUCAAGGUGGUGUCUAUUGUGGGAUUCGGCGGUCUCGGUAAAACUACACUUGCCAAACAGGUGUUUGACAAGAUUGGCGAACAAUUCGACUGCAAGGCAUUUGUGUCGGUUUCCCAAAGACCUGACAUGGCAGGGCUCUUGACUGGGCUAAAAUCGAAGCUUGGGGGAAACAACACUCGUGGCAAUCACGAUGUGCAAGACAUCAUCGGCAAGCUUCGAGAGCAACUCGCACACAAGAGGUACUUUAUUGUAGUCGAUGACGUGUGGGAUCGACCAACAUGGGAAAAAAUUAGUGGUGCUUUUCCAGAUAAUAGCAAUGGGAGUCGAAUAAUAGUAACUACACGAGUGGAAGAUGUGGCCUUCCUGGCAUGUCGUAAUCACCGGCAGCGCAUUUACAAAAUGAAGCCUCUCAACGACCAAGACUCCAAAAGGUUAUUCUUUAGUAGAGUGCUUGGGCCUGAGGAUGCCAAUCCAUCCCAUCAUGAAGAAGUUUCAACUGAAAUUUUGAAGAGGUGUGGUGGACUGCCACUCGCUAUUAUUACAAUAUCUGGCAUAGUAGCUAGUCGUCCAGGAAUAUUAAGGCAGGAUUGGGAGAGCAUAAGGAGUUACUUGGGAGUGCAAUCUGCCAUAGACGUUACCAUGGAAGGAAUGAGGCAUAUAUUAAACCUAAGCUACAUGCAUCUUCCCGUUGAUCUUCGGGCAUGUUGCUUACGUCUUGGAAUGCAUCCAGAGGACCACGAGAUCAUGAGGGAUGAUCUUCUUCGACAAUGGAUAGCUGAAGGCCUUGUGAGGAAUUUACCUGGGCAAGAUUUGGAGGAUGUUGCAAGGAGUUAUUUCAAUGAGCUUAUCAAUAGAAGCUUGAUUCAGCCUGAAAGGACAAUCGCUGGGGAUGUGGUUUCUUGCACAGUGCAUGAUAUGAUUCAUGAAGUGAUUAUCAGCAAGUGUGAAGAGGAAAAUUUCAUGAGUGUGGUAUACAAUUCUGAUGACAUGCCAAAACUGCAUAAACGCAAGCUCAAGGUCCGCCGAUUGUUCCUGAGCUCGAGUUCUGAUGAUGCAAUAGAUGGUACAAUAUCAAGGACCACUGAUACUAGUCUGUCAAAGGUUAGAUCGAUUGUAUCAUUUGGAGAGUCGUAUUUUUUAGCUAGAUAUCUCCGGGUGCUGUUCAUUGGAAACUGGAAGAUACACACAGUAGAUCUCAGUGAUAUCAACCAAUUGUUACAUCUGAGGUAUUUGAAGGUUACAGCAGAAAACAUAAAGCUUCCGUCUGAAUUGAAAGGACUAGUGCAUUUGGAGACACUGGAAAUGACUUGUCGUUCAAUCCCGUCUGAUGUAGUUCAGUUGCCCCGUUUGUCCCACCUGGCUGCUCUAUGUCACAGGCUGCCUAGUGGGAUCGGGAACUUGAAAUUAUUGCGAACUCUGAAUGGGUUUCAGUUGACAGGUUGCUCCUCGGAGGAUAUCAAUGGCCUGGGCGAGCUAACAAAUUUGCGAGAGCUCUUUCUCAGAAUAGAAGAUACAGUUGAAAUUGAUGAUGCUUUGGCCUCCUCCAUUGAAAAGCUUCGUAAACUGAGACAUCUCAGGCUUUUUCAUAACGGGAAUCUUGAAAAUGACAGUCUGUUAUCAUUAUCAAAUCCUCCCCUCCAUAUCGAGACACUUCGAAUGAAUGGAAUCGUGACCUUCAGAAUCCCAAGGUGGAUUGGUGAUCUCCAUUAUCUCCGUUACCUGGACCUGCGUGUUAGGGAGACAUCAACUGAUGACAUUCGUCUUCUUGGAGAGCUGCGCUCCCUGAUGGAAUUCAGAUUAUACUUGUUUCAUUUCGCUGCCAAUGGAGUUAUCGUAAUCAGAACAGGAUUAUUUCCAGCUCUGGAGUACUUUCAGGCAGACUUUCGAGAACAGCGUCAUGAGGUACACUCUGCAGAAGACGAUGUUAUGGCACACCUGUGCUUUGAGGUCGGGUCAAUGCCCAAGCUACAAAGGCUCGAGCUACAUUUAUCUGAGAGGCACUGGGGCGGCGCUACCCCAGUUGGCGUAGAGCACCUGUUAGCUCUCAAGCAAAUCAAGUUAGCAUUCGCCUACCGCGGCAGCAGUGAUAUUGAUGAAGUGGAUCGUCGUGCUGAGUCUGCGUUCAGGGACGCCUUGCAAGGGCACCCGAACCAUCACUCCAUUCGCAUCAAUUAG